rnacentral:rRNA from 1 species
AUUGAACGCUGGCGGCAGGCCUAACACAUGCAAGUCGAACGGUAACAGGAAGCAGCUUGCUGCUUUGCUGACGAGUGGCGGACGGGUGAGUAAUGUCUGGGAAACUGCCCGAUGGAGGGGGAUAACUACUGGAAACGGUAGCUAAUACCGCAUAAUGUCGCAAGACCAAAGAGGGGGACCUUCGGGCCUCUUGCCAUCGGAUGUGCCCAGAUGGGAUUAGCUUGUUGGUGAGGUAACGGCUCACCAAGGCGACGAUCCCUAGCUGGUCUGAGAGGAUGCACAGCCACGCUGGAACUGAGACACGGUCCAGACUCCUACGGGAGGCAGCAGUGGGGAAUAUUGCACAAUGGGCGCAAGCCUGAUGCAGCCAUGCCGCGUGUAUGAAGAAGGCCUUCGGGUUGUAAAGUACUUUCAGCGGGGAGGAAGGGGUUAAGGUUAAUAACCUUAGCCAUUGACGUUACCCGCAGAAGAAGCACCGGCUAACUCCGUGCCAGCCGCCGCGGUAA